rnacentral:lncRNA from 1 species
GUUGUGUAGUUUUUAAGUUUCUAUGUUGUGUCAUGUGUACUAUUGUUUGUCUGCCUGUCUUGUUUUCAUUUUCAGCCACGGCGUUGUCAGUUUAUUUUCGAUUUAUGAGUUUGCCACGUUAAGAUAUGAUAUGGGUUUUGGUAUUCUAAUUUUUAUGAUAUUUUGCCAUUAUGUUGCGACUGUUUUUUUUUUUUUUUAUAAUUCUUCACUUUUUGUAAUUUGCCCUUUUUGAUACACACUUUUUUGAGUGGCUUUUUUGUACGCCAACUUUUUUGUAGACUGUAUAUAAAAAGAAGAUGUGGUAUGAUUGCCAAUGAGACAACUAUCCACAAAAAACUAAAAUGACACAGACAUUAACAACUAUAGGUCACCGUACGGCCUUCAACAAUGAGCAGAGCCCAUACCGCAUAGUCAGCUAUAAAGGCCCCGAUAAAACAAUGUAAAACAAUUCAAACGAGAAAACUAACGGUCUUAUUUAUGUAAAAAAAAAAAUGAACGAAUAACAAUGUAACACAUAAACAAACGACAAC